CGGACUGUAGGCUGCAACUCGCCUACACGAAGCUGGAAUCGCUAGUAAUCGCGGAUCAGCACGCCGCGGUGAAUACGUUCCCGGGCCUUGUACACACCGCCCGUCACACCAUGAGAGUCUGUAACACCCAAAGCCGGUGGGAUAACCUUUAUAGGAGUCAGCCGUCUAAAGGUAGGACAGAUGAUUAGGGGUGAAGUCGUAACAAGGUAUC
rnacentral:rRNA from 1 species